GUGUAUCUGCCAUGGUCAAUGUCAUUUCAGAAGUUUGUAAGGGCUAUUCCUUGAAGCUUACACCUGCCCCCCUCAAUGUGACUAACAAGUCUUUUCAGUUAGUAACAUACUUGCUGAGGGUUUGACAACAAAGACUUAAUGAAGAUUGUGAUAAAUUCACACAGACACCCAAGUAAAUUUUGUUUUAUAGACUAAAAUUAAAAAAUCUUCAAGAAAGGGAGGAGAAGUUCCUUCAUCCGUGGAAAACAAAACUCUUGUUAAACACCCGACAUCAGGAGCUGUUUUCACAUUUCCUUUGCCAACACAAGAAACAGUUUUACGGUAUCUCAUCCUCUGCCCAAGAAUGAGCAAGAACAGCUUGUACACGCACAUAUUAUAAGAACUGAUAACUGAGUCCAGCAAUGUUGCAGCAUGAAAAAUCAACGUACAACAGUCAACUGUAUUUCUAUGUAUUAGCAAUAAACCAAAAAUUAAAUGAAGAAAACAAUUUCGUUUAAAAUAGCAUCAAACAAAAUAAAAAC
rnacentral:lncRNA from 1 species